GACGAACGCUGGCGGCGUGCUUAACACAUGCAAGUCGAACGGAAAGGCCCUGCUUUUGUGGGGUGCUCGAGUGGGGAACGGGUGAGUAACACGUGAGUAACCUGCCCUUGACUUUGGGAUAACUUCAGGAGACUGGGGCUCAUACAGGAUAGGAGCUCCUGAUGCACGGUGGGGGUUGGAAAGUUUCGGCGGUUGGGGAUGGACUAGCGGCUUAUCAGCUUGUUGGUGGGGUAGUGGCUUACCAAGGCUUUGACGGGUAGCCGGCCUGAGAGGGUGACCGGCGACAAUGGGACUGAGGUACGGCCCAGACGCCUACGGGAGGCAGCAGUGGAGAAUAUUGCACAAUGGGCGGAAGCCUGAGGCAGCAACGCCGCGUGCGGGAUGACGGCCUACGGGUGGUAAACCGCUUUCGCCGGUGACGAAGCGUGAGUGACGGUAAUGGGUAAAGAAGCACCGGCUAACUACGUG
rnacentral:rRNA from 1 species